rnacentral:rRNA from 1 species
GACGAACGCUGGCGGCGUGCUUAACACAUGCAAGUCGAACGAAGAGCGACGGAAGCUUGCUUCUAUCAAUCUUAGUGGCGAACGGGUGAGUAACGCGUAAUCAACCUGCCCUUCAGAGGGGGACAACAGUUGGAAACGACUGCUAAUACCGCAUACGAUCUAACCUCGGCAUCGAGGAUAGAUGAAAGGUGGCCUCUACAUGUAAGCUAUCACUGAAGGAGGGGAUUGCGUCUGAUUAGCUAGUUGGAGGGGUAACGGCCCACCAAGGCGAUGAUCAGUAGCCGGUCUGAGAGGAUGAACGGCCACAUUGGGACUGAGACACGGCCCAGACUCCUACGGGAGGCAGCAGUGGGGAAUCUUCCGCAAUGGACGAAAGUCUGACGGAGCAACGCCGCGUGAGUGAUGACGGCCUUCGGGUUGUAAAGCUCUGUUAAUCGGGACGAAAGGCCUUCUUGCGAAUAGUGAGAAGGAUUGACGGCACCAGAAUAGAAAGCCACGGCUAACUACGUG